CUUAAUUUGUUCAUUUAUUUACAACAGAAUUACAAAUGUUCCACUGUUACAGGCAAGACAUAUCAAACAAAUAUUAGAGCUAAAAAAGGUUCCUUACAGUGUGAUACACAAUAACAGAACCAAAUAAUCAAGCUAGUUACAAGUUAGUAAGGAGCAGAGCUACUAACCGGAGGAGGAAAUAAAUUAUCUUUGAAGAGAAUACACGUUGCUUGUAUCAUACAAACAGAAUUCAGCACCGAAAAACUUAUUCACUCUUCACCCUCGCAGAGUUCAUCACUCGAUUCACCCUCACAUAAUUCAUCACUCGUUUCAAUACAAAGAAUGCAGACUGCAAGAGUUCAAUAAAACAAAAAACAAAACAAAAGGCACAAAAAACAAAAUUACAACAUUACAACAUUUAAUGAUAACUUUAUCAAUCCAGGAGCUGAUUGCACGAGCAAAUCAUAUAAUCAACCUAACAAAACUGAUCUUAACCCUUCUCUCUGUAAGAAUUUUGUGGUAACAUAUUUACUCAUAAUUACUAAAAACCUAAUAGUGUUUUGGUAAAAAAGAAUUCAAGAUCGAUUUGAUUUCUAUGUUUAUUAAUGUCACUCCCUAUAUGCAAAUAUUCACUUUAUCUUCUAUAUCUCAUACAAACCCUAUUCUUUCAUCUCAACCCCAAAUCCAGUUCUGAUUCACUCUUCUAGUUCUCAAAAUUCUUUUUCCUAAAUCUCAAAAUCCUGUAAACCUCUCCUCCUCUCACAGCCCACCUUCUCCCAAAUUUUCUUUUCACAACCAUAACCAGUAAAUCCUAUUUUGCUCUCCCUUUUUCUAUUCCUACUGCAUUUUUAUUUCUUUAAUAUUAGACUCUUCCACACUGAUACAUUUCUCGUCACUCCUUCUCCUCAACUCAUCAACUCCAACGUAGAAUAUUUCAACUGGGUCACGACAAUCUUUAGAAAAAACAUGAAAAGUAUUUGAAAAAAGUUAACCUUGAUUCUUCUUCUCCGCUUGUACCACCGCUGCCUGCCGUCAAGUGUCGUUGACUCUACUUUGUGCUGUCGUUCACCGUAUGUUGUCGUCCACCAUGCCCCGUCGUCUGCCGUUGUCUGCCGUCGACUUUGUAUUGCCGUCUGUCGUCGACCUACGGUUGCU
rnacentral:lncRNA from 1 species